ensembl:lincRNA
UCAGGCCGCUCGGACGGCGCGUCGCUGCUCGCGGGUCUGCGGGGAGGGGCGGCGCCGCACGACGACUGCGCUUAACUACUGAAGUGUCCCUUUGAGCAAACCUUCGACUUAACUGGAGUUGAUUUACCACAAAGACAGUCCCCUUGGCAGAACCCAGGCCAGUCCUGGAACACACCUCUGAACGCUGGACUCAGGGCAGCCUCCCUGGGGGUCUCUCAGGAGUUCGGGCGCCUCUCUCCUCUCCCCGCCCUCCCCGCCUCGCCACCCUUUUGAAUCCUGGCACCCAGAGAGCCUCCUUCCAGCGAGCCCAGAACCAGCCUCGUCCCCUGGCAAAGCGGCCCAGUGCCCAGGAGCCCUGGGCCAGUGACUGACUGCAGGCAUUGCCCCCUCCUCCCCUUGCUACUUUCCCUUCCCUACAGAAACCGUUUCCUCUGCCAACAAAACUAGGUUGCAUCCCAAAGUUUCUCACAAGCUUAUAACAGAAAAAAGGAAAAAAAAAACAAAACGAGAAACUGGCAACCAUUACGCAGAAGAACUCACAAAAGCUGCAAGCAACACCCUGGGCAACGAAGCAUCAGCGCCAGACCCAGGCCUGCAGGACACAUGGAAGGACUUUCCCCAAAUCAUGCUCCAGAGAAAGGAAACUCUCCACUGGUCUGCAUCAGGGAAGCUAGUUUUCCCCCUUCUUUUCUCAGCCAGGAUGCAGCACUGCUUAUUGGAAAGAAUCGCCUCCUUCAGAAAACUAGGGCCAUUCAAAAUGGAAGCUAAAGGAAAAUGUGCAAAAAUAAAAGCUUCAUUUGAAAAUUCCCUGUGUUUGUAGCCCCACAAGAGCCUAACAUGAAAAUUUGGGACACACUCAGGUUUUCCAAAGACAAAGACAAACAGAUUCAAAAUAAGUGUUUGCAGGAAAGACAAGGUGAUGCUUUAUUUCCUCAAACAAAAAUCAACUUCUAAAUAGUACUCUCUCUUGAUGAUGCUGCCAAAGGAGAGCCUCUGUUUUUUCCCUAAAGCUAAAAACAGACUCACCACCGAAGUAGAAGUAGAAGGAACUGGAAAAAUUCCAUGAUUUGUUUCUCUAUGGCAACUUUGCGCUGAGACAAAGGCCUGCUUUACCCUAAAUUGUUUUCUUCGUGGGGAGCCCCCCAUUAGAAACUAGAUGAAUGGAUACAACGAAGCAGUUGUGCAGCUCCAGCUCUAAAAGCCCUUUUCUUUUUUAGUCAAGCACCUCAACAUCUGCCCAGGAACUGGAAGAGAGGCACAGCGAGGAGAGGAGCUGGGCUCCAGCAACAUUUCAGAGCGGCCUGGACGAAAGCUUGGACGACCACAGAAAACCUUCCUGCCUUGGACCCCAAUCCAGAUCGAUGACCUAAUAUAUCUUUCCCCACACCGACUGCCACGUUUUUAUGAGCAUCGAGAACUGGGUGUCUGCCAUCAGCAACAAAGAGAGCUUCUCCAGGGCACUCCUGUCCUCCGAAUCGCCAGGGUCCCGGCCGCUAGCCACACCACACCGGCCCAUGUACGAGCUGAGCAAGACACUUCAGCAGGGUGAUUCUUAGGGAACAGGGAGAGUCCCUGUCACGGCCUGGCCGCCUGGGCUUCAGAACGCUGAGCCAGAGUGGAUGUUUCCCUGAAGCCCACCGCGAAGCCAAGGAAGAAAUUCUGCUUCUCAGAGGGGCCUGGUCCCGAAUUUAUAUUUGUAAUGUUUCCCUUUAAUUGCACAAGCUACAGACUCCUCCCAAGAGAAAUGGAUAGAAACACUGUACCACACUUUAGCCUGAUAAAAGUACACCAUUUAAACGGACACUCCCUUUUGUCCUCCAUGGACAGGCCACCAUCCCGUCAGGCCAUCUUGGAGACAAGCUAGGUUGAGUCUCUGGCUGUCUGCUGUCCUUUUUGAAAUACAGCAGUGGUUCAAAAAGUGGCUGUGGUUUACAUUUAUUUACUUCAGCUCCUCCUUGAAAGAAGACUUAGUUGUGGACUCAUUAUUACCACCACUUAUGGAUGUAAAGACUGGAAGAAUUUUCCUGCCUGGGCCUCACUUUUAUUACAUGGUAUCACUGUCCCAGGGUGGCUGAGUUUUGUUUUAUAGUGAAGUUGGUGGAUCUGGACUUUUCCCAUGAGACUCAGAGGACCAAGCCAUAGAAAUUUUGUUGUUGUUCUGACCACAAAAGUAAUGGCAUAUACAUUUACGUGGUUGCAUGGUUGCAUACAUCUGCAUGCAUAAAUAACUUGGAAUAUUAUAAUUUAUAGCAUAGUGAGUGAAAAUCUUCCAUAAUCCCUUAUCGUCGAGAAAAGCCAUUCUCUUUUUUCCAAGACAUACAUUAACAUUUAUUAUUUCACAAAAAGGGAUUGUACUCUUACAACCCAGAAGCGUGUUCCCUGGCUGGCAAUGUCUUCCGUGUCUUUCCAUGUUAGUCUAUAAAGAGUGACGUUGUUUUAAAUCUUCUUUUCUGUGGCUCCAUGGUGCUGUGCUGCACGCUGAACCAUACUUUCCUAACCAAUUGCCUGUGCACACUUGGGUUCUGUCCCAUACUCCCUGUUGCAAAGUGUUUCCCAACCCAAACAUCACUUUAUACUUAAACAUCUUUCAGCAGUUUGGGGAAUCUUUCUUUAUGAUGAAUUCCCAGAAGGUGAAUUAUUAUUGGGUCAAGAGUUUGAGCAUUUCAUUUUAAUAGCUGUUGUCAGAUUCCCCUCCCCUAAUGUUACUCCCAUUUACACCCCAAGCCACACUGUAAGAAGGACCUGCUUCCCCAGGCCCUUACGGAUGCUACAAGCAUGCCACUUGGGCAUGUGUGAUGUGAGUUAAGUGGCUGUUCCCUUGUGAAAGCUAACAAAGAGAUCCAAAGUCCCCCCCUUUCCUGGGCAAGCCAACCACCUAGGCAGCUAGUUAAUUGGAAAGGCAAAAAGUCUACAACCUAAUGCUGGCAUCUGGGCGGGUUUACUACAGAUAACUUGUCAGUGAGUAUGUAAGAAACUGUGAGUAAUUAAUAACUUAAUUAUUAAAGAAAUAUACAUUGGUUCCGAUUUUCAGCAGUUUUUAUAAUUAUAACACACGUUAAUAGUACAGAUAACAGGUUUCCUUGUGACAUUUCUGUACAUGCACACUCUGAUUUGAUCAUAUCUCCCCUCUAUUCUCUCUUGCCCUUUCCUUCCCUACGCUGCUGUUUUAAUAUAAACAAUGCAUUUAAUCUGGGAGCAUCAAAAUAUUUAUAUUUGCA